rnacentral:rRNA from 1 species
AGAGCGAACGCUGGCGGCAGGCCUAACACAUGCAAGUCGAACGGACCCUUCGGGGUUAGUGGCGGACGGGUGAGUAACACGUGGGAACGUGCCUUUAGGUUCGGAAUAGCUCCUGGAAACGGGUGGUAAUGCCGAAUGUGCCCUUCGGGGGAAAGAUUUAUCGCCUUUAGAGCGGCCCGCGUCUGAUUAGCUUGUUGGUGAGGUAAUGGCUCACCAAGGCUACGAUCAGUAGCUGGUCUGAGAGGAUGACCAGCCACAUUGGGACUGAGACACGGCCCAAACUCCUACGGGAGGCAGCAGUGGGGAAUCUUGCGCAAUGGGCGAAAGCCUGACGCAGCCAUGCCGCGUGAAUGAUGAAGGUCUUAGGAUUGUAAAAAUUCUUUCACCGGGGACGAUAAAUGACGGUACCCGGAGAAGAAGCCCCGGCUAACUUCGUACCAGCAGCCGC